CACGCACAGUUGUUUUUUUUUUCUCUCCCACCGACCGUCUCUCUCUCUCCUUGCUGCACUUUUUCCGGCCACCAGCACCAUGCACGCGCCGGCCGACGAGGAAGCCCACAGCUGGGCGACACCGGCAAUCAAAUUUCCGGCCGAAUGGCCAGCCGACGCGCCGGGAUCGGCCUCCAUAGCCCGCGGUCGGUGUGCCGCUGGUUCGGCCAUUUUCCGGCAACCACCGGUCGUGCAGCCGGUCCUUUCCCACUAAUUUGGACCCUCUGAGUCCGAUUCUGAGCUCCAAUUAACUCAACUCCCGUCGAUUUGCAAGAUACGAAGGGAUUAAAACCGGCCGAACCUUUCCGACCAAAUUCCGGCCACCUCCGGCGGAAUUGGGGUCGAUGGAGACCGGUAAUGCACUCCUCGUUCCACGAGCUUCGAUUCGGUAUAUCAUUCAACCAUUUUGGUUAAAGUUUGUGUUUGACCCCCGGGUACCGGGUAUUAUUUACCCAAUUAAAAUAUUAAUUUAUUUGACUAUCUGUGAAUUUUGUUCUACGAGCACCGGUGAGUCGUAGAAUUGAUCCCGUGGUGGAUCUUGGAUUAAUUGCGUGCUCCAGGUGAGUGACCCACCUUCAAUUUAAUUUUGGGAAUUUAAUUGGUGAAUAUAUUAUGUGUGAUUUAAAUAUUUGGAAUUUAAUUUCUAUGUGCCAAAUAUUUAUUUGAUUUAUUGUGGAUUUAUUGGUGAAUUUAUUGGAUUUAAGAAAAUGUGUAUUCUAUAAAUUUAUGCCAUGUGAAAUUAUUUUAUGGUUUUGAGAAUUUUGAAAUUCUUGUGGUUUUAAUAUUAAAUUGGGCAUGAUUUGAUUUUCAAAUAUUUCAAGGAAAAUAUUUGGUUAUGUUGGUGAUUUCAAUUUUUAUAAAAUAUGCCCAUGGAAUAUUAUGAGAUUUAAUUAUUAUAUUUCGAGAAUUAUUUAUGCUAUUGGGAAAAUGUGGAUAUUUGAAUUGGUGGAUUUGGGAGUUGGUGGAUUUGAAAAUCAUGGAAAUUAUGGUAUUGAUUAUAAAAAAAAUUGUGGAGAAUUUCCCGGUUCAAGCGGAUGGACUAUGCCAGCUGUGUUUAUGCAAAAUGUGAAAAUUGUUAUAUAAAUUAAAUAUGUGGAUUUUAUGAUUUUUAGAUGCACCGUGCACGUACUGGUGUUCUGUUUAUAUGUGAUAUGGUUAGUGUGCACACGGUUGUGAUUAGCGCGCAGGUGGGUGUGAGUAGCGCGCGGUUGAUAUUAUGAGGUUGUCCUGUGGUUGCCAUUGGAUGAGGGUAGGCCACCCCCCUUAGCCGGGACACCAGGUUAGCAGCGGCGCAGUGGAACGCCACGCGACCGUAUGCCGGUUUCUUUCUAUAACCUCCUGACUGGCGGUACCUCGGGACGCUGGGUACUGUUGGCGCCACUGGUAUAUAGUCCAGGUUGGAGACGUUGAUUGUCUGGGGCGAGCCCAACGUCUCAGUUCGUUGCCGAAGGUUCAAGAAGUUUUUCUUCCCUUUUUCCUCUCUGUCUUGUUUUGUUUCUUUAUCUGUCAUUUUAUAAAUUUCACAUGUUUCUGUAUAAUGCUCUGUAUACUGUAUUGGACGUGUGGUUGUUAUUUAUGCACUGGGUUGCUGCUGUUGUUUUA